UACGUAGGUGGCAAGCGUUGUUCGGAAUUACUGGGCGUAAAGCGUGCGUAGACGGCUAUCUAAGUCGGGUGUGAAAGCCCCGGGCUCAACCUGGGAAUUGCAUUCGAGACUGAAUAGCUAGGGUACGGUAGAGGGAAGUGGAAUUUCCGGUGUAGCGGUGAAAUGCGUAGAUAUCGGAAGGAACAUCAGUGGCGAAAGCGACUUCCUGGACCAGUACCGACGUUCAGGCACGAAAGCGUGGGGAGCAAACAGG
rnacentral:rRNA from 1 species